GACAGAGGGUGCAAACGUUGCUCGGAAUUACUGGGCGUAAAGCGCGUGUAGGUGGAUUGGUGUGUCAGAUGUGAAAUCCCUGGGCUCAACCCAGGAACUGCACCUGAAACUACCAGUCUUGAGUGGUGGAGAGGGAAGUGGAAUUCCUGGUGUAGAGGUGAAAUUCGUAGAUAUCAGGAGGAACACCAAUGGCGAAGGCAGCUCGCUGGGACGGUACUGACGCUGAGACGCGAAAGCGUGGGGAGCAAACAGG
rnacentral:rRNA from 1 species